CGGCACCUCAAGUGGUCAGGAUGAUCAUUGGGCCUAAAGCAUCCGUAGCCGGCGCUGUAAGUUUUCGGUUAAAUCUGUACGCUCAACGUACAGGCUGCCGGGAAUACUGCAGCGCUAGGGAGUGGGAGAGGUAGACGGUACUCGGUAGGAAGGGGUAAAAUCCUUUGAUCUAUUGAUGACCACCUGUGGCGAAGGCGGUCUACCAGAACACGUCCGACGGUGAGGGAUGAAAGCUGGGGGAGCAAACCGGAUUAGAUACCCGAGUAGUCC
rnacentral:rRNA from 1 species